rnacentral:rRNA from 1 species
AGUGAACGCUGGCGGUAGGCCUAACACAUGCAAGUCGAACGGCAGCACAGUAAGAGCUUGCUCUUACGGGUGGCGAGUGGCGGACGGGUGAGGAAUACAUCGGAAUCUACUUUUUCGUGGGGGAUAACGUAGGGAAACUUACGCUAAUACCGCAUACGACCUACGGGUGAAAGCAGGGGAUCUUCGGACCUUGCGCGCUGGAAUGAGCCGAUGUCGGAUUAGCUAGUUGGCGGGGUAAAGGCCCACCAAGGCGACGAUCCGUAGCUGGUCUGAGAGGAUGAUCAGCCACACUGGAACUGAGACACGGUCCAGACUCCUACGGGAGGCAGCAGUGGGGAAUAUUGGACAAUGGGCGCAAGCCUGAUCCAGCCAUACCGCGUGGGUGAAGAAGGCCUUCGGGUUGUAAAGCCCUUUUGUUGGGAAAGAAAAGCAGCAGGUUAAUACCCCGCUGUUCUGACGGUACCCAAAGAAUAAGCACCGGCUAACUUCGUG